AUGCGUGUGACAGUCAGCAUGUCUGCUCUCCAUUUGAAGCUGGUGACCACCUUCUGUCUCUGCUACACGGCCCUGAGCGGCCCAGGGAGCAGCGGAGUGGAGUGGAAAGAUGUUGGAGGAAACGUAACCAUCGGCUGCCGGCCUCCUGGAGAAGGCCAGACGACCCUGAGUCUGAGGAAGAGUGAGGCCCAAAUCUUGUUCGUAGAUGACAAAUCAAAAAAAAAAACCAUUGCCUCAGAAUUCUCAGGCAGACUUCAGUGGACUGGAGAAUUCCCCGACAUCGACAUAAUCUUCAAAAACCUGACCCCGGACGACACAGGAGCGUACUGGUGCAAGUACAAUACUGAGCUGGUGGGAAAGGGGUCGGUGCUCCUGGUGGUGACAGAUACGAUGAGGUGUGAGGAGCCAAACGACAAUCUGACCCUGGUGUCGCUUUUGAUCUGUGGGGCCGUCCUGCUGUUGCUCAUCUUAGGCUUCCUCAUAUGGAUCAUCCGCAAGAUGUGCACACCAAGGAAACCGCAGCGCGUCCCUGGCAAUGAUGUUUAUGAGGACAUGCGUGCAACAAUCAGACGCUGAAGAUGUCGGCGUGCAGGCGAGCGGCCUGAAACCAGACGAUGAGUCUGCAUCGCUCCAAGUGAUGCAUGCGAGGAUAUGUCCCUCAGCCAAGAUCUGCGACGUCUCCUCGUGUCUGGGUGAAAGACUGUUGUGGCAAUUCCAUGAAUUGCCAACAAAACACACAGCUCUGUUUGAAUGUACAGAGAAAAAACAAAAGUCUGAAUUUGUUUGUCUUUUAUUGGCACGAAAAUGAACUGGAUUGGACCCUUGCAUGUAUUUUUAAUGUAAAUAUAUCUUUUUCAAUUUUGUACAUUUCUUAUAACGUUACAUUACAGGUCAUUUAGCUGACGCUUUUAUUCAUUUUUAACGCAUGGCUAUUUACUUUUUUGCCCGGGGAGCAAUUAGGGGUUAGGUGUCUUGCUCAGGGACACUUGGACAUGAGACAUGGAGCAGCCGGGACUCGAACUGCCAACCUUGCGGUUCCCAGCGGUUUACUUGAGUGUCAUAUACAUGAUGUUACUAUUGUGAUCAUCAUGGCUGUAAUUAUCGUCGUCCGGAAUAAAGCAAUAAACCACUAGUUGCAAUGUCUUAAAUAAUACUAAACCUGGUGGUUCUGUGGCACCGCAACCACCAAAUGGUGUGUGAUCUUUAUCAGUGGUGUUAAUCACAAACAUUGUUUAAAUUGGUUUGUAGACAAACCUGUCAAGACCUGUUCAUUUUGAUGGUAAACUUAAAUGAAUCUACUUAUUAGAAGGAUUUUCUCAUUUUCACACAUAUUCCGCCCCCAACACCCCACAUCAAAUCAGUCACAGCCUUUCUUUCACUAUGAGAAUACACGAGAAUUCAGUGGCUUGUUUUUUUUUUGACAUUAAACGUGCUUUUGCACAAACCUUUUUGAUAAACAUCACAACAACUCAUAAAUCGAGCCGAGUGCGUGUUUCCACAAACAGAUGAAACCGCGUCAGUGGAGAGCGGCUGCAAACCGAGAGGCGCCGCAUGAGUAAACAAAACUGAAAAGGUCGCAGGGAAAAAAAAUAAAUGUCAUUUUGUGGCAGCGUGCAAGAAAUGUUUACUCGUGCAGCGCGUCCGUGUGGUCGCGAGCCGUGACUCCAGCAUCGGUGAUCAGCGAAUGUGAAACGUGUGUUUUCUCCUGGCUGUGGGGCAGGUGUCAAAGUGCGGUGUGUGUGUGUGUGUGUGUGUGUG
ensembl:lncRNA